rnacentral:rRNA from 1 species
GACGAACGCUGACGGCGUGCUUAACACAUGCAAGUCGAACGGUGAAGCGCCUUCCUUUUUGGUGGGUGUGGAUGAGUGGCGAACGGGUGAGUAACACGUGAGUAACCUGCCCCCUUCUUCUGGAUAACCGCAUGGAAGUGUGGCUAAUACGGGAUAUUCUGGGUCUGUCGCAUGAUGGGUCUGGGAAAGAUAUUGUUUCGGUGGGGGAUGGGCUCGCGGCCUAUCAGCUUGUUGGUGGGGUGAUGGCCUACCAAGGCGGUGACGGGUAGCCGGCCUGAGAGGGUGGACGGUCACACUGGGACUGAGACACGGCCCAGACUCCUACGGGAGGCAGCAGUGGGGAAUAUUGCACAAUGGGCGCAAGCCUGAUGCAGCGACGCCGCGUGAGGGAUGGAGGCCUUCGGGUUGUGAACCUCUUUCGCCAGUGAAGCAGGCCUGCCUCGUUUGUGGGUGGGUUGACGGUAGCUGGAUAAGAAGCGCCGGCUAACUACGUG